rnacentral:lncRNA from 1 species
AGGUGAUAUCUCAUUGCAGUUUUGAUUUGCAUUUCUCUAAUAGUGAUGCUGAGCAGCUUUUCAUGUGCUUUUUGGCCAUCUGUCUGUCUUCUCUGGAGAAAUAUCUCUUUAGAUAUUACGACCAUUUUUUAAAAUUGGGUUGUCUGUUUUUUGGAUAUAAAGUUAUGUGAGAUGUUUGUAUACUUUGAAGAUUAAUCUACUGUUGAUUACCUCAUUUGCAAAGAUUUUCUCCCAUUCUGUGGGUGGUCUUUUCUUUUUUAAAAUAGUUUCCUUUGCUGUGAAGAAGCUUUUAAGUUUAUUUAGGUCCAUGAUCCUGGAUUAGAAAAAUCAAUAUUUUCAAAAUAACUGUAGUACCCAAGGUAAUCUACAGGUUCAAAGCAAUCCCUGUCAAAUUACCAAUGGAAUUUUUUACAGAAUUAGGACAAAAAAUUAAAGUUUUUAUGGAAACAGAAAAGACCUCAAAUUGCCAAAGAAAUCUUAAAAAAAAAAUGGAACUGGAGGAAUCAGGUUUCCAGACUUCAGACUAUACUACAAAUUUAGUGUCAUUAAAACAGUCUGGUACUGUUUUAUUGUUUGAUGCUGCUGUUUUCUUUCUUUCCUGUUCCACUGAUCUAUAUUUUUAUUUUUCUGCCCAGUGGAACAAAAUAGUCCAGAGAUAAAUUCACGCACCUAUGGUAAACUAAUCUAUGACAAAGGAGGCAAGAACACACAGUGGAAGAAAGAUAGUCUCUUCAAUAAGUGGUGCUGGGAAAACUGAACAGCUCCAUGUAAAAAAAAAUAUGUAUAUAUAAAUUAGUAUACUCUCUAACACUAUACACAAAAAUAAACUCAGAAUGGAUUAAAGACCUAAAUAUAAGGCUGUGUAUUAUUAAACUACUAUAGAAUAACCUAGGCAGAAUACACUCUGACACAAAUCAUAGAAAUAUCGUUUUGGAACCACCUUGUAGAGCAAUGAAAAUAAAAACAACAAGAAGAAAGAAUUUGUUUUAUAACCCUAAAACCCUAUUGAUCAGAGGGCUCAAUGGGAAUAUUCAGAGACAUAGACAGUAGUGAAAAACAAAAACUGAGCCUUUCAGAGGGUAGUGAAAGCUUUAACUAAAGACAGAUAAUUCUUUUUUAGGAGAAGACCAUUUAACUCAUUAAUGGAGUAUUUUAUGAAGUAAUUUGGAACCUCAUAAACAUGCAGUUAAAGCAAUGGAUGCAGAUUUAGAGAAUAUUCCAUGCAUAAUGACUUUGGAUCCUUGGGGAGGGAAUUGAAGCUAUCAUUAAAUAGGGUGUGGUUUUUCUGGCCCAUGAUGGCAGUACAUGACCAGAAAAUCAUGUUGUAUAGGAAUUAUUUAGUGCAAAAUACUGCCUACCAUAGUGUUCUUUCCAUAUAUGAUGUAAGUGUGCAUGUAAAAGUCUGGAAUCAAUAUGUUUUAAUUUUUCUUCAUUAAACUAGAUAUUCUGAUGCAGGAUAAUUUACUAGUGUUAAAAAUAUUAAAUCAUUUCCUUCUCUGUAUGCCUGACAUCCUCCAGAGUAGGUUGGUUGUUUUAGAAAAAGUACGCUUUUUAAAUAAUCUGGCCCAGGAGGAUAUGUUGACUGUUGUUUGCCACAGGAAACAUUUAGAGAUGUUUUGAAUGACCCCCAGUCACACUCAAGGGAUCCUGCAAAACAAAAGAAUCAUAAAACUUUGUUAAACAUGUAAGGAAUUCUUUUCUUAAAAAGCAAACAAACAAAAAAGACAGUGAAAUUAUUAGUUUGCUUAGUCAAGCACUUCUUUGAGUCUCUGGACUCUAUUAUACUCUUGAACAUUAUUCAGGACUACAAAGAGAUUUGUUUGUGUGAGUUAUGCUUAUUUAUAUAUUAAAGUGGAUAAUUUAAAAAUAUCUUUAAUAUUUAAGUAAAUAACAUAUAUGUUAGCAGAUGUUUUUAUAAAAUAUAACUAUUUUAAAAAGUAGAAAGUGAUAUUUUGCAUUUUUUCCUACUUUUUUAAUGUUUGGCUUAAGAAAUGAUAGUUGGGGGGUCUCAAAAUUUACUGUUGCAUUCAUUCUGCUGCAUACUACAUUAUGUAGACUCUAAAAAAAUGCCACUGUGAAAGCAUGGAAGUAGAAAAGCAAAUAACCUCUUAGUAUUUUUAUUUAAAAAUUAUUUUGAUUUUGGACCCCACGAAGAGUUCUCUGAGAGUCUCAGAGGUCCCCAGCUAGAAGAGAAUUUUAGUUGUUGAUUGUUCUCCCUUUGACAUAAACAUCAAGGGUAUAGAUGUGAAAUUCUCAUUGUUGCCUACCCUAAGGAACAACAGGCAAACAGAUUAUAAGCAGGCAAUUCUUCCUGCACAGUAGGAAAUGCAGUGUUCAGAAGUGGUGCCAAGAGCUACCCAGUUCUGGGGAUUGCUCACCACCCUUUCAUUGGUCUAAAUUAGGAGACACCCAUGUUGAGUGAUGGUCAAGUUAGUUGGGUUUUUUGAUAAUUACACUAAACAGUUAAUACUGAUUAUCAGCUUUAAUAUAUGGAAAGUCAGAAAUAUGAUUGUUUAUAAGAUUCCUAUUUUUUCUCCUAUUGAAGUGAAAAACAGACACUGGUUGUUUUAUCAGAUAAGGCUUAAAACUUGAGCUCUUACUGAUAUAUUUGAUACUGCCUCCCUUCUUUGGAUGCCCUGAUUUUGAUACUCUGAUAAUUGAGUUUGCACAAACACAAAUCACUCUUCAAAUGCUUCAAAAAAUAAUUUAUGUUGGAAAUAUGUUCUUGUAAUCUCAUUUCUUUUAUUAUGUUGUGCUAUCAGAUGGUAUUAUGGUUGAUUAUGUCUCUGAGUUCUCUGCAUCUCUGUUAGAUUGUAAAAUCUGAGAGGGCAGGAACCUAGCGCAUAGGCCUCUUAAGACAGUGCUCAGAGGCUAGCCACACUGUUUUUGACUUGCGGGCUCAUCACUCAUUUUGAUUUUCCUGGCCCUCUUCCUACCUACAUAAAUAUUCAGUUCAGAAUAUCUUGAUCACCCCUUCCGCACAUGAAUCUGGGAUCAUUUGAAAAUUAUGGAGGACCUAAUGAGUAGUGAUUUGGGAUGUUUCAAGUUGUAAAGCUCUAACUUUUAGCUUCAUCCACUUGGGCAAGUCACUUUGCAUCAUCUGGAUCUAAUUCCUUCACCUUACUUGGAUCUAAAUCCAGCUAGAAAAUGGUAUCAUCUCUUCUCUUUUAAAUUAUAUUUAUCAUUCCACAUAAUAAUUUCUACCUUUAUCACGUUUGCUAUUUUAUAGGACAAAAAUCUUCAGACCUAAAUAAUGGUUUCUGAUUAAUCCACAGACAUUUAUAUUUACAGUUUAUUUUCAUAAUUUACAUAGUGUUAUUGCAUCUAUUGAUAAUGAAGAUGCAUCACAUCACAACAAUAUGUUUUGUUUUCAAAGGCCAGUACCAGAAAUAGAAGCAAUCUGAGGCACAAGGUAACACGUAUCAGUACUUUAGCAAGACGUAAAAAUAUUAAAGAAUCACAUCAUUUUAAAAAAGAUCUCUGUCUAGAAGAAAAGAGGGCACACUACCUACAGCUUGACCAGGCAAAACAGAAACAUGUGAAAGUCAUGUGGGGAUCAGCAUGAAAUACCUGUGUGAGGUAGACAGGGUAGGGAACAUCCUGGCAUUUGAAGAGGUAAUGACAGGUCUUUGAGCAACUGUGACAGCCAGGAUGAUCUUUCAGGAGAGCCAAGCUCACCUAAUUCCUGGUAUGGUCUUUUGGCUGGAAAAUACCUUGGAAUAACCCUUUUUAAUACCUUCCUAGGGCUGACAGGAAUGCUUAAAAGUGUUCUAUCAGGCUUUCCACUCAGGGAUGAAACAUUUGAAGUGCACUGUCUGAUUUGGGUAAUACAUUGGCAGCAACUAUUUUAUUUAAAAGAAAAAUCCAUCAAUUAACAAGUGAACAUGACAGAGAGAGUGACAGCCUUUCUCUGUGUUCAAAAGAGAUAGCUAAAGAAAAGGGAACACUGGGUAUCUGAAGAGGAAAAAUCACCCCUGGGGAAGAAAAAAAGAGCCCCCUGAGAAUGCAAAAGGCUCACAAAUAGAUCUGUCAGAUUCCUUUAGACUUUGAUGAAAGGCACAGUGCUUGAUAUAAGGAAGACCCUGGGCCAAAACAAUUCUUCACCUUGGAUGAAUUAUAAACCCAACUAAAGAGAGAGAUUACCACAAAAGGAAAAAUAAACCAAGAUUUGGAGAAAAUCAGGGUGAUGAAGAAUAAUUUUGCCUGCUCCAUAAUUUGCUUAGGAUAAGACUUACUAUUCUCUAAAUCAGUGUUAAAACAACAAAAACUAGUCAAUGAGACAUUUUUUGUGUUGUGCCUUUGUUGGGCAUGCUGUUGAAUGCCAUUACAUCUUAGCAAGCCCAGCAUGGAUAUUCAUAUAUUUAUUUUUAGAUUUGUCCCAGAAUCUUAAUGCAAUUUAACAAACAUUUACUGUGUGCUUUCUGUGUACAGCAAUAUGUAGGUGCUAUUGGCAGUACAGUUAUAAAAGAAAAAGAACUUGUUUUAUAGUUCUGAGUCAAGUAGGGCAGCUAUAAUAUAGAGGGAAUGUGCAUAUAUUUAAAUGGGCAACACUUUUAUACCUGCAACUGUGUAUUUUUAUAAUCAGUAGAUUCAUAAACACAAUUAAUAAAAUAGAAAUAUUGCAGAUAAUUUUUGAGUCUCUCUUACAUCUUAAUAUUUCAGAAAAUAUACCAAAUAUUAAGUGUUUGCUUGACGAUUGCCUGCUUUUAAUUAAAACAAUGAAGAGUUAUCUUUUGUGGUUUGGGGAAUUGUUUUUACAUGUUUUUCUGUGAUGAAUAUAGAAAUUUUAUAAUGAAAUUGAUUUCUUGAACACCCAACCUAUGGUAGGCGACUUCCAAAACACCAUCAAUCUUUUCUCCUAGUAUUUACAUCAUUGUAUACUCCCCACACAAUUUGAGUAGUACUGGCCUGAGUGAGUGGUGGAAUAUUGAAGAAAUGAAAAAAUGUGACUUCUGAGGCAAGAUCAAAAUAGCCAUUAUAGCUUUUGCCUACUAUGUCUUAGACCACUGGGUCUAGAGAAAGCCAACUGCUAUUUUGUGAAAACCCUCAAGCAGCCCACCAGAAAGUCCACAUGGUACUAACAUAUGUCUUUUGAGGACAGCCAGCAUAAUUUGCUGGUCAUUUUUGUGAGUCAUCUUGGAAAUGGGUUCCGCAGCCCCAGUCAAGACUUUAUAUAAACAUGACUGUGGUCUAGGGUAAUAUUUUGGUUACAGAUUAUUAAAAACAGGACAACAGGCCCCAAAUGGAGUCACUAAUGUCACCAAAUCAACAAAUUAGUUUUGGCUUUCCCAGAAAUAAGAUCUUGAACCAAUCCAUCAGAAAUCAUCUGAUCUUUGGGAUGGAAAUGCUGUAAAAUGGGGUUGUGAUGAUUGUUGUACAACUAUAAAUGUAAUGAAAUCCAUUGAAUACUUAAAAAAAAUGAAAGAAAUGAUCUGAUCAGCAUUAGAUAAUUGAUCUACUUGGAAACCACUAAAGGAAAGCAGCCUUGCUAUAGCCAACCUGAUUUUUUUUUUUUUUUUGGCCUGGUAUAACUUUGUUGUGCCUGCUCCCUUCUGCUUGUAAAAUUCUUUCAUUUUAUAUAGCUCCUUGGAGCUCCUUUCUACCUGCUAGAUUGGAUGCUGCCCAAUUCAAAUUGAUUUUUUGCCCAACUAAAAUCUUAAAAUUUUAAAUACACUUCAGUUUAUUUUUUUGACAGUUCUGCUGUCAAAGGAGAGAACCAUAGACCCCUGAUGACCCUCAGGAGCCGUAAGCAUCCAUGUAUAAGUACCUCUUGAGUCCUUUGAGGUCUCUGUUUUUUGCUGCCUCUGGAGAUCAUGGGUUAAGGCUCUCUAAAAACCUAGCUUUAGCAGUAUGAGCUUUCAGACUUAAUUUGAGGAUUUCUUUGACUGGAUUGGGUCUGUAAAUCAUCUAGUCAGACUGAGUCCUGUUUAGAAACUGGACCAUGUUUGGGUUGGAUUGGGUCCAACUUGGAAACCAGAUAGGGACUGGAAAUGGACCAAGUCUAAGGUGAGACUGGGUUUGACAUAGUAAACAAACUGGAUUUAGGGUUAAACUGAAUCCAAUUUAGAAACUGGAUAGGGUCCAGCAUCGGUCUAGGUCUGACUUAAACUGGAUUGUAUCUAGUGUGAAGUCUCAGGUGAAAAAAAAUUUAUAAAGCCUGAACCAGUACGUUAACCAUACUAAAGAUAAUCUUGAAUUACAGUGGCCAUAAUGGACAACUUUUAACCUAGAUAAAUUUUUGCAUUUAUUAAGUGCCUUAGAAAAAAAGGGGGUCUCAGCCAAGCAUUCACUGUAGAGAAUAGGGGGAUAAUUUAUGUUUCCUACAGUUACUGGUGAUAGGAAUAGAGAAUACUGGGAUACCCUAUUCUCUCUAGCACCUUUAAAUGGGAUCCUGGGAAAACUAGUAAAAGCAGUCAAAGAGUGAGAAUUCCUCCCAAAGUCCGAUCUUCCAGAUUUCCCUCUAUGGUUCCUGGUCAAGAGAGGAAGGUAAAUUUUUAUUUGUCCCUUACUAACUAAAUUCAGAGUGGUCG